UCGUAAACCAUGAACCGGUUCUAAACACAACAUCGUAUAUAAUUCUUUACUAGCUUCAUUUCAUUCAAAAAUAUUACAACACAUUUCACCAAAAUAUAAUACAGCCAUAUAUAUAUCUCACUGGACUUAAAAAUUUCUUAUACGUUUCAUAGAAUUUGCCGACGAUGGUGAGACAAAAGGUUGCGGCGGCGGCGAUGGUGGAGCUCCUAGAGACUUAGUUCGUGGACUGACUGAUGGCCGCAUUGGAAUCAACUUCCUUCUCCAGCCUAUUUAAUUGAAAAUUAGAUAGUUAUAAAAUUUAUCAUAUUGUAUAUAGCCAAUAUAUUGGUCUAAGGAAAACUAAACCAAAACAAAAUAAAAUAAUCAGAGAAGGAAAUUAUCUUAAAAUUACAUGAGUUUUACAAAUAUAUACUGUAUUCUUUAUUUUUACCAACAAAAAAAAUUGUUUUCGUUUUACUAAAAUAACAUGAGAUUUAUGUUAGCAAGCACUGACCUGGGAGUAACUCUUGGGGAGAAGCAAGAACAUUACUAGAAGCCAAAAUAACCACUAGAAACAACAACACAACUCUCGACUUCAUCAAUAGACCAAGAACUUGCUAUUUUUUCUUUGUUUACUUGCUAAAUCUAUUGGUUUCAAACUCGAAAAUACCAAGAACUCAAGCUGUCCCUCUCUCUUUCUUGGCUAUUCACUUAUUCGUGUACCUCUUCCCUCAUAUUAAAUGGUACUAUU
rnacentral:lncRNA from 1 species